rnacentral:rRNA from 1 species
GAUGAACGCUGGCGGCGUGCCUAAUACAUGCAAGUCGAGCGAACGGACGAGAAGCUUGCUUCUCUGAUGUUAGCGGCGGACGGGUGAGUAACACGUGGAUAACCUACCUAUAAGACUGGGAUAACUUCGGGAAACCGGAGCUAAUACCGGAUGAUAUUUUGAACCGCAUGGUUCAAAAGUGAAAGACGGUCUUGCAGUCACUUAUAGAUGGAUCCGCGCUGCAUUAGCUAGUUGGUAAGGUAACGGCUUACCAAGGCAACGAUGCAUAGCCGACCUGAGAGGGUGAUCGGCCACACUGGAACUGAGACACGGUCCAGACUCCUACGGGAGGCAGCAGUAGGGAAUCUUCCACAAUGGGCGAAAGCCUGACGGAGCAACGCCGCGUGAGUGAUGAAGGUCUUCGGAUCGUAAAACUCUGUUAUUAGGGAAGAACAUAUGUGUAAGUAACUGUGCACAUCUUGACGGUACCUAAUCAGAAAGCCACGGCUAACUACGUG